CAGGUAGGCGGCCGCGUGUGUCCUUUGUGAAAGCCCUCGGCUCAACCGGGGAAUGGCAGGGGAAACUACGUGGCUUGAGUCCGGGAGAGGAGAGUGGAAUUCCCAGUGUAGCGGUGAAAUGCGUAGAUAUUGGGAGGAACACCGGUGGCGAAGGCGGCUCUCUGGACCGGUACUGACGCUGAGCUGCGAAAGCUAGGGGAGCAAACGGGAUUAGAUACCCCGGUAGUCCUAGCUGUAAACGAUGAGCACUGGGUGUGGCGGGUAUCGACCCCCGCCGUGCCGAAGCUAACGCAUUAAGUGCUCCGCCUGGGGAGUACGGUCGCAAGGCUGAA
rnacentral:rRNA from 1 species